rnacentral:rRNA from 1 species
AUUGAACGCUGGCGGCAGGCCUAACACAUGCAAGUCGAACGAGCGGCGGACGGGUGAGUAAUGUCUGGGAAACUGCCCGAUGGAGGGGGAUAACUACUGGAAACGGUAGCUAAUACCGCAUACCAUCGGAUGUGCCCAGAUGGGAUUAGCUUGUAGGUGAGGUAACGGCUCACCUAGGCGACGAUCCCUAGCUGGUCUGAGAGGAUGACCAGACACACUGGAACUGAGACACGGGCCAGACGCCUACGGGAGGCAGAAGGGGGGAAUAUGGCACAAUGGGCGCAAGCCUGAAGCAGCCAGGCCGAGGGUGUGAAGAAGGCCUUCGGGUUGUAAAGUACUUUCAGCGGGGAGGCGUUACCCGCAGAAGAAGCACCGGCUAACUCCGUGCCAGAAGCCGCGGUAAUAC